rnacentral:misc_RNA from 1 species
ACGAAAUUCAAGUCGGUGGACUGUGCUGGCGCUCUGCGCAUGUGCACGCCCAUCGCAAAUCCACACACCUGUGAACUUUAGACUCGGAGUGAACAGCCUCACGGUUGCACCUCAGAGUAUUUUACACAUGCCGUAUGUAACAGGAUGCUGUAGUGCUAUACACAAAAAACAUA